UAUUGCCUUGGUUGCCAUCAUGUUUGCAAGGGCCCUGCAGAACAUGGCAAACCUGGUACUAGCUGUUCAAAAACAAAAGGGGGGAAUUGUUGGGGUCUGCAAGCGGGUCUGCAGACAAGUUAGUUGACUUCAAAGACUUAGCCGUGUACCUUUCAAGACAGCCACAAAUUGUCAGGACUUGGUACUCUUCCAAGCAGAUCCCUGAAGAGGCCUAAGUCUGCCCUCCUGAAGUCGAGGGUAGCAAGCUGGCUGUGCAUCCUCCUUGCUGUCCUAAGGAUCUUGAACUCGACCAUUUCAUGGUCACUGCAGCUUGAGCUUCACAUUCACCACCAGCCCCUCCUUGCUGGUGAGAACAAGGUACAGUAUAGCACCUCUCCUCAUUGGCUCCUCUGUCACUUGGGGAAGGAAGUUACCAUCAACACAUUCUGGGAACCUCCAUGAGGACUAUGCUGAGAAAAGAUACACUGUUUGGGAAAAAGGUUUGUUUGUGGUUAGCUUGGCUCUCAUAGAAGUAGAAAAAAGCAUACAACAACCCAUUAUAUUGAGAGGCCCAUUUAAAGUUAUAAAACCAGUCACUACUGGGACCCUUCCCCUGACAGGGUGGCCCAGAAAGCCUCAGUACGAAAGUGGUAUGCUGAGAUUGAACGCUAUUGUAACACUUUCUCUGUAUCUGAAGGUGCUUUAAAAAAAACUAGCUAUAAAAGAAGUUGAGAGCCUGGAUGAGGGCCAAGAUAAACCUGUCUCAGUCAUUCAGGUGGCCCCUCCUUUUCCCUGUGAACAGUCAGUUAGUGCUU